UGCAUAUACAGACCUACUUCAUGGCCAUUCCGCCAGCCAUUGCUAUUUGACCCAUUGUUAUUCUGAUAUUGAGACAAAUCAUGAUCACUGUCCUAUUCGUUUGGUUCACUUGACGUCACUUGCGCCGCCAUCUUGACGACCGAUCCCACCCACUGACCCACUGAUUUCAGUGGUAACUCAGUCAGCACCAACAACAACACCUACGACCACAAUCUAAACAAUGAGGAUGCGCUCUUUUAUUCUCUUCAGUGCAGGUAAGGAAAGGUUCUGAAAGAUGGCAUAUCCAUGUAGCUUAUGAAUAAAAUGCAUACAAAAAACGUUGACAUAUGACCCACUAUGAUCUGCUCCAUAUACCCAAUGUUGACAACGUCCCAGCCAAAGAGUUUUGGUAUUAAUACCUCAUUCAUUGUCCAAAAUAAUCCAUAAUAAUUCAAAUUGGGUUUUGUUGUGGGUACAAAAUGAAUCUUGAAGAAAACGCGUCCCCGGCGAAUGACUGAUUUCAACGAUCAAUGAUAGUAACCCACCACAAACUGUUCACAAGAAGUCACAAAUAUAUAGUACUAAAAUUUGCCAUUAUCAGAUAAAGAUUAUUGGUGGCCAAGGUCCUCACUUUAGCGUCCUUCACCCAUCGAGCCACAGCAUAUUGGUAGGCAUCAGUGCUCUUAAAUGCUUUCAAGAGCGACGACCAAUAAAAAACAACAGUGUUACCCCUUAUGUUUUUUUUCAUGACGACCAAUAAAAAACAACAGUUUUACCCCUUAUGUUUUUUUUCUUGACGACCAAUAAAAAACUACAGUGUUACCCCUUAUGUUUUAUUUGAUAAAUAUCGGCAGUGUUACCCCUCAAGUUUUUUCCAUGUUGACCAAUAAAUUACAACAGUGGCACCCUUGUCGACGUUUUUGCGGGGAUAAGAAAAUGAGCUGUUUAGCGUGUUAACCUCCGAACUUAACAAUGCACCAUCAAGACACCGGAUAAAGUCAUCACAAAAAUUAAACUUGACUUUAUAAUUCGCAUGCAAUAGAGACACAAGCCUUUCCACAGACGACAUCAAGCGGACUUGAACCCCGGUCUCCAGUGGGUUAGGCAGAGUGCACUCCACUGCACCACUGAGGCGAUGACACUACAAAAAAUCAAUCAUCAAUAAAGAGGAUAUACAUGACAUUAAAAUGUAUGUGUGUAUUUCUAUUAUUUCCCUUAUGUUUUUUUUAAUGACGACCAUUAAAAAACGACAGUGUUACCCCUUAUAUUAUAUUUGACAUAGGCAACAAUGUUACCCUUUAUGGUUUUUUUCAUGACGACCAAUAAAAAACAACAGUGUUACCCCUUAUGUUUUUUUUCAUGACGACCAAUAAAAAACAACAGUGUUACCCCUGAUGUUUUUUUCUUGACGACCAAUAGAAAACUACAGUGUUACCCCUUAUGUUUUUUUCAUGACGACCGAUAAAAAACGACAGUGUUACCCCUUAUGUUUAUUUUCAUGACGACCAAAGAAAAACAACAGUGUCACCCCCUAUGUUUUAUUUGAUAAAUAUCGACAGUGUUACCCCUCAUGUUUUUUCCAUGUUGACCAAUAAAUUACAACAGUGGCACCCUUGUCGACGUUUUUGCGGGGAUAAGAACAUGAGCUGUUUAGCGUGUUAACCUCCGAACUUAACUAUGCAACAUCAAGACACCGGAUAAAGUCAUCAAAAAAGUUAUACUUGACUUUAUAAUUCGCAUGUAAUAGAGACACAAGCCUUUCAAC
ensembl:lncRNA